rnacentral:misc_RNA from 1 species
AACGCACGAGACCUGCGGACCUGCGGAAGGAUCAUUACAGGAUUCGCAAGUCUCCCGUAAACCCCUGUGAACAUACCUAUACUCGUUGCCUCGGCGGGUGCUCCGGUGCGAACCGGGGCGCCAGCCCGCCGGCGGCUCGCUACUCUGUAUUGAAUACUGCAUCUCCGAGCAAUUGCAAACGAAUCAAAACUUUUAGCAAUGGAUCUCU